UACGUAGGCAGCAAGCGUUGUUCGGAGUUACUGGGCGUAAAGGGUGCGUAGGCGGCCCUGUAAGUAUGGUGUGAAAUCUCCCGGCUUAACUGGGAGGGUGCGCUAUAGACUGCGGGGCUCGAGUGUGGGAGAGGAAAGUGGAAUUCCUGGUGUAGCGGUGAAAUGCGUAGAUAUCAGGAGGAACACCGGUGGUGUAAACGGCUUUCUGGACCAUAACUGACGCUGAGGCACGAAAGCUAGGGGAGCAAACAGG
rnacentral:rRNA from 1 species